GUGCAUGAUGGAGAGGUACAUCGAGAUGAAGAGCAAACAAUCUGAGGAAGAAAUUGCACAGUUGGCUAGAGAGAAGGAAUGUUCGCAAGCUGCAGAUUACUCCAUCAAGAAGUGUGUGUCUAUGUUGGGCGCAAUGGAUGGUACCAAGGAAGAGAAGUUAAAGGCUUAUUCAGUUUUUAAGAUCCCAGAAAAUAGAGAAAUCUUUCUGAGUGCAUGUGAAGAUGACUUGGAGUGUGCAUUAUGUUGGCUGAGAAGUGAAAUGGCCUAGCAUCACCAAAGGUACUUGACCCAUUGCUUUACUUGAUGUCCCGCAUAUUCAUUGAGGUUGAGACUUAAGGUUGAGAUGGUGGACGGCAUGCAACAAGACCUAAGUUUGAGAUGUUUGAGAGCUUGCUCAUGAGCUAUAUACAUUUCUCUUGCUCCUCUUCCUCCUUUAGAUCUCUCUGUCUAGCUUCUUGAUUGAGUGAUGAUUGGUUUGGAGUUGUUAUCUACCACUGUUGUGCAAGUUUUAGAUAAUAUCCUCUUGUAAUUUAAGUGUGAAGAGCUCUAUUACUUAUGAAUUCCUUCAGUGCAAAUAGUUACUGCAUUUUUCUUGUUUA